rnacentral:rRNA from 1 species
AUGUUGGCUGGGACUCUCUGUCUGCCUGUACCCCUCAAGAGACUAGACAUUAUCGGCAACUGUGGGCUGACACCGCUGGAGUGUCUGUCAGGAGAACACAACCCAUCGCUGGAAGCCCUUGAUCUUGAAAGAUGCGGUACCCUGGCAUUCCUGCCAAAUGAGCCACAAGUAUACAUGUCUCUCUUGUUUCUUGAAAUUAGAGGUUGCCCUGCUAUAAAGAAGCUCCCUAGAUGCCUGCAUCAGCAACUGGGAAGCAUCAACUACAAACGACUAGAUGCCUGUUAUGAAGUGAUGGCACUUAAACCAAAGGCAUGGAAGUUGAUGCCAAGGCUAGUCCAUGAGUGGAGGAAGGCCGCUCGACAAGCCAGGGAGUGCCAGCAAUCCGCCAUGCAGGAGUAA